CGCGGCAGGAAGGAAGGAAGGAGCGCGCGGGGGGGGCUGCCGGAGCCGGAGCCGGAGCCGAUGGAGGCGGCCGAGGGGCAGGCGGAGGGGGCCGGGCCGGCCUCCUUCCUCGACAAAUUCCAAACCCAGCGCUACACAGGGGGCUUCAACCCGGAGAGCUGGGAGCAGGAAUUUGACAAGAUCCCCAUGUUUAUGAAGAAAUCCCCUGCUGAAAUUGAUCCUGAACAGAAUCCUGAUUUGGCAUGCCUUCAGUCAAUCAUUUUUGAUGAGGAUCGAUCUCCUGAAGACCAAGCAAACACCUAUAAGAAUGAGGGGAAUGAAUACUUCAAGGAAAAGAACUACAAGAAAGCUGUAAUCUCAUAUACUGAGGGGUUAAAAAAGAAAUGCAGUGACCAAGAUUUGAAUGCUGUGCUUUAUACUAACCGAGCUGCCACACAGUUUUAUUUGGGUAACUACCGUUCUGCUCUCAGUGAUGUGAUUGCAGCAAGAAAGCUAAAACCCAACCAUCUCAAAGCAAUAAUAAGAGGAGCUUUGUGUCAUUUGGAGUUAAAGAAUUUCGCUGAAGCAAUGGCAUGGUGUGAGGAGGGUCUGAGGAUAGAUUCGAAGGAAAAGAAACUUGUGGAAACGAGAGCCAAAGCUGACAGAUUAAAGCGAGCUGAACAGCGGGAUGUAAGGAAAGCAAAACUGAAGGAGAAGAAGGAACAGUCUCAAAAGGAAGUCUUACUCACUGCUAUAAAGGAAAGGAAUAUCAAGCUGUUUCUAGAGGCCUGUAAGGAGGAAGAUGAAAUAUCAGAUGGUCUGGCUGAGAUGUCUUUAAAUGGACUGAGUUCUGACAGUGCUACGGGCACAAAGGUCUACUUAGAUGGUAAUGGCAAUCUAAACUGGCCUGUGCUCUUCCUGUAUCCUGAAUAUGGGCAAACGGAUUUCAUCUCAGCUUUUCACGAGGACUGCAGAUUUAUUGAUCAUAUACUGGUGAUGUUUGCUGAGUUACCUCCUUGGGAUUCGGAAAGAAAAUAUCAUCCCAGCAACCUAGAGCUGUAUUUUGAAGAUGAAGCAAGAGAAGAAAUGUACCAGCUGAACACAGAAAACACACUGCUACAAGUGCUGCAGCACCAAAGGUACUUCGUAAAGGCUGGGACACCUACAUUUUUGGUUUUAGUAAAGCUUUCUCCUUUCUCUAAGAAUUACUUCUUUGGCAAGAAGGUGCAUCGACUAAAAUGAGCAAGUGCAAGCACAAAAAGGGACGAGAGAAACCCUUGCUGUGGGCUGUAUUGUUCAUAUCCACAGUUCUUGCACAUGUAGAACUCCCCUUGGAACAAAGUCACCGAGUUCUGAGUGGAUACAGACUGAAGCUUGGUUCCCUCCGUCCCCCGGAAAUAUAUAAAUGGAUGGUAGUCUUCUUUAAUCUAUUGAAAUGGACUGCUGUUCCCUUAAGCCUUAUGCAGAGCUGCCAUUCAUACACUGCACAUGUGCCAAACCUUAAUUAUAGAUGAAGUGACCUCAAUUUUCAAUGUACUUGCAUUGUGGAGGAGUGAAGAAUUCCACUGCUGACCUCCAGCACUGGAAUGGUUGUAGUUAACUGGUUUUGAAGUCAGUGGAACUGGGAUAUCCUCUAGUAGCACUGGAUGACUCUGCAUUAAUCCACUGGCCCGGAGCAGUCAAAUCAAUUCAGCAGCAGUUCACUCACUAAUGCACUGUGCUAUUGAACGAAGGAAUGCCAAGCUCUUUAUUAAGAGCUGUACAUUUACUGAUCUUUCACUACCCUUUCUUUUUGUCUGAUGUAGAUUGCAAAUAAAUGUUUAUGGUAAGUAGA